AUUGAACGCUGGCGGCAUGCCUAACACAUGCAAGUCGAACGGCAGCACAGUAAAGAUUUCGGUCUUUAUGGGUGGCGAGUGGCGGACGGGUGAGUAAUGCGUAGGAAUCUGUCCUGGAGAGUGGGAUAACCCGAGGAAACUCGGGCUAAUACUGCAUGAUAUCGAGAGAUCAAAGGCAGGGUACCCUUCGGGGCCUUGCGCUCUAGGAUGAGCCUAACUCGGAUUUGCUAGUUGUUGGGGUAAAGGCCUACCAAGGCGACGAUCCGUAGCUGGGGUGAGAGGAUGGCCGGCCAGACUGGGACUGAGAAACGGCCCAGACUCCUACGGGAGGCAGGAGUGGGGAAUCUUGGAAAAUGGGGGAAACCCUGAUCCAGCGAUGCCGCGUGUGUGAAGAAGGCCUUCGGGUUGUAAAGCACUUUAGUUGGGGAAGAAAAGUAAUGAGUGAAUAACUGAUUGCUCUGACGGUACCCAAAGAAUAAGCACCGGCUAACUCUGUGCCAGCAGCCGCGGUAA
rnacentral:rRNA from 1 species